rnacentral:rRNA from 1 species
GACGAACGCUGGCGGCGUGCCUAACACAUGCAAGUCAAACGGGGUAAAGAGCUUCGGUUCCUUACUUAGUGGCGAACGGGUGAGUAACGCGCGAGAAACCUGCCCUUCAGUGGGGGACAACAGUUGGAAACGACUGCUAGUACCGCAUAAUGUUAUUUGAGGGCAUCCUCGAAUAACCAAAGAUUUAUUGCUGAAAGAUGGUCUCGCGUCUGGUUAGCUAGUUGGUGAGGUAACGGCUCACCAAGGCAACGAUCAGUAGCCGGUCUGAGAGGAUGAACGGCCACAUUGGGACUGAGAUACGGCCCAG